AUUGAACGCUGGCGGCAUGCCUUACACAUGCAAGUCGAACGGCAGCACGGGAGCAAUCCUGGUGGCGAGUGGCGAACGGGUGAGUAAUACAUCGGAACGUGCCCAAUCGUGGGGGAUAACGCAGCGAAAGCUGUGCUAAUACCGCAUACGAUCUACGGAUGAAAGCAGGGGAUCGCAAGACCUUGCGCGAAUGGAGCGGCCGAUGGCAGAUUAGGUAGUUGGUGAGGUAAAGGCUCACCAAGCCGUCGAUCUGUAGCUGGUCUGAGGGGACGACCAGCCACACUGGGACUGAGACACGGCCCAGACUCCUACGGGAGGCAGCAGUGGGGAAUUUUGGACAAUGGGCGAAAGCCUGAUCCAGCCAUGCCGCGUGCAGGAUGAAGGCCUUCGGGUUGUAAACUGCUUUUGUACGGAACGAAACGGCCUUUUCUAAUAAAGAGGGCUAAUGACGGUACCGUAAGAAUAAGCACCGGCUAACUACGUGCCAGCAGCCGCGGUAAUACGUAGGGUGCAAGCGUUAAUCGGAAUUACUGGGCGUAAAGCGUGCGCAGGCGGUUAUGUAAGACAGUUGUGAAAUCCCCGGGCUCAACCUGGGAACUGCAUCUGUGACUGCAUAGCUAGAGUACGGUAGAGGGGGAUGGAAUUCCGCGUGUAGCAGUGAAAUGCGUAGAUAUGCGGAGGAACACCGAUGGCGAAGGCAAUCCCCUGGACCUGUACUGACGCUCAUGCACGAAAGCGUGGGGAGCAAACAGG
rnacentral:rRNA from 1 species